rnacentral:rRNA from 1 species
GUGGGGAAUAUUCCGCAAUGGACGAAAGUCUGACGGAGCAACGCCGCGUGAGUGAUGAAGGUUUUCGGACUGUAAAGCUCUGUUGUUUGGGACGAAAGUGCCUGUUGCGAACAGUUACGGGUAUUGACGGUACUAAACGAGGAAGCCACGGCUAACUACGUGCCAGCAGCCGCGGUAAUACGUAGGUGGCAAGCGUUGUCCGGAAUUAUUGGGCGUAAAGAGCAUGUAGGCGGGAAUCUAAGUCUGUUGUUAAAAUGCGGGGCUCAACCCCGUAUUGCGAUGGAAACUGGGUUUCUUGAGUGCAGGAGAGGAAAGGGGAAUUCCCAGUGUAGCGGUGAAAUGCGUAGAUAUUGGGAGGAACACCAGUGGCGAAGGCGCCUUUCUGGACUGUGUCUGGCGCUGAGAUGCGAAAGCCAGGGUAGCGAACGGGAUUAGAUACCCCUGUAGUCC